AGUGAACGCUGGCGGUAGGCCUAACACAUGCAAGUCGAACGGCAGCACAGUAAGAGCUUGCUCUUACGGGUGGCGAGUGGCGGACGGGUGAGGAAUACAUCGGAAUCUACUUUUUCGUGGGGGAUAACGUAGGGAAACUUACUCUAAUACCGCAUACGACCUACGGUUGAAAGCAGGGGAUCUUCGGACCUUGCGCGAUUGAAUGAGCCGAUGUCGGAUUAGCUAGUUGGCGGGGUAAAGGCCCACCCAGGCGACGAUCCGUAGCUGGUCUGAGAGGAUGAUCGGCCACACUGGAACUGAGACAGGGACCAGACUCCUAAGGGAGGCAGCAGAGGGGAAUAUUAGACAAUGGGCGCAAGCCUGAUCCAGCGAUACCGCGUGGGUGAAGAAGGCCUUCGGGGUGUAAAGCACUUUUGUUGGGAAAGAAAAGCAGCAGGUUAAUACCCCGCUGUUCUGACGGUACCCAAAGAAUAAGCACCGGCUAACUUCGUG
rnacentral:rRNA from 1 species